CAACCCCAAAAAGGCUGUGUGUCUGGAGAACUGAAUUUAUUGGCGCUUUCACUUCUUUCCUUUUGCUCUAUCCAGAAAAAUCAAAACUCUAAUUUUCGCGAAGAAAAAGCAAAAUGCCGAGAGGACAGAAAAUCCUGAAACCAUCAUGUUCUUCCUCAAUUGCACCACCGUCGUCAUCACCGCCGUGGGUGGAGCUUCCACGGGAAAUCACGGAAAACAUUCUGCAGCGGCUGGGAACGAUAGAGAUAGUGGAGAGUGCAGAGAGAGUUUGCAGUACGUGGUGGAAGGUGUGCCAUGACCCCGCUAUGUGGCAUGUUAUUAUUGACUUGAAAUAUGACGUUUUUAGUUUCAAGACGCCUAGGGUUUUGGAGCAGAUAUGUCGGAUUGCUGUGGAGCGUAGCCAGGGCCAGUUACUCAAAAUUAACAUCGACAAUUUUGGUAGCAAAGAUUUGCUCGACUACAUUGCUCAGAGAUCAAGUCAGCUCAGACAUCUCCGACUUGUCAAGUGUUAUUGUAACUUAGCUGGAGGUUUGGCUGCAAUUGCCAAGAACCUUCCGUUGUUGGAGGAGUUGCACAUUCAUUUCACCGUGAUCACUAAAGAUGAUAUAGAAAUUAUUGGUCGUUCUUGCCCUCUGCUCAAGUCAUUUAUAUUGAAUGCCAGUGUAUCUGUUACCUUUGGACUUCCAUCAUUUCAAGACGAUGAUCAAGCUCUAGCUAUUGCCAGAAGUAUGCCUAAAUUGCAGCGCCUUUCGCUUCUUGAGAAUACCUUGACAAAUGUAGGGCUGCAAGCCAUUCUUGAUGGCUGUCCACAUCUUGAAUUGCUUGACUUGCGCUACUGUUAUAAUCUAAAUCUUGAAGGGGAUUUAGGAAGAAGAUGUAGGCAACAGAUUGUAGAUUUAAAGCUCCCUCAGGAUUCAACUUAUGAUUAUGGUUUCUUUGACAUUAAUUAUGGUUAUGAAGAUGAUGUUUACUUUGACAUUGAUGAUGGUUAUGAAGAUGAUGUUUACUUUGACAUUGAUGACUGGAGUAACUUAUAUUGAUGUCAUUUUCAAACCAAAAAUUAUGAUGGUUUUUGGUUGCUUUUGGGUUAUAUGCAUGGCAUCUUUUUGCAACAGUAACAGAUGUUGUAACGAUCGGCCGAUUGUUUUGAGAAUUUAAGCUCCGUUCGGCGGCGUAAAGUCUUCAACAGCUUCAUAUUAUGUGUAUCGACUUGCGUGCAUGGAUGAAUUCAGUUACCGGAUGAUUCAGAAUCAAAUUGGAAGAAUGAGUCUAGUUUUGGAAGCUUAAGCGGUGAGAAUUUGAUCGGAAUUUGACUUUUGGGUAAACGGCUCCGGAAUGAGUUUUGGAUGAUGCCAGAAUUGGACUUAGGCGCGCAUGCAGAAUCGGAUUUAGGGGUCCAUAGGGUGAUUUGGAGCAUUUCGGCGAAAGUUGGAAAUGGAGAAGUUUGACCCAUAGUUGACUUUUGUGAUAUCCGGGUCGGAAUGUGAUUCCAAGAGUUGGAACAGCUCAGUUAUGUCAUUUGGGACUUGUCCGCAAAAUUUGGCGCCAUUCCGGGUUAGUUUGAUUGGUUUCGGCACGGGUUUUAGAAGUUGGAAGAUUUGGACGUUGCUUGAUGUGAUUUGAGACCUCGAGUAAGUCCGUAUUAGGUUAUAGAACUUGUUUGUGUAUUUAGACGGGGUCCCAGGGGCCUCGAGUGUGUUCAGAGUGGGUUACGGGCCAUUUAUCUCCUAUUUUGAACUGUUGUUACUUGCCAUCUGGUUUUCUUCUUCGCGUUCGUGUCUGCUCCUCCGCGUUCGCGAAGAGUAAUUUUGGAGGAGGAAUUAAUUGUUCAUCGCGUUCGCAUGACCUCGUUCGCGAUCGCGAAAGUCUGUUUACACCUUCUUUGCGUUCGUAUCUUCUCUGUCCGCGUUCGUAUAGUUCUUUCAUUUGGGCAACAAAUUAUUCCUUAAAUGCAAUGCUUUGUGAUCGCGAAGUGUGGCUUUGGGCAACUGAUAAUUCCUUCACUCCGCGAUCGCAUAAGCCCUUCUGCGAUCCGUAGCACAUUUCGGACAGUAGCCAUUUUCCUUCUACGUGAUCGCAUCAUUUCUUUCGUGACCGUGAUGUAUAAAUACCUGGGCAGGUAAAAUAUAUUUCCAAAUCGAGGGUUAGACUAUUUUUAUCAUAUCUUGACUUGUAGAGCUCGAUUUUGAGCGAU